rnacentral:tRNA from 1 species
GUCCCUCUCGUCCAGUGGUUAGGACAACGGCUUUUCAUGUCGAAGACACAUGUUCAAUUCCCGUAAGAGAUA